GACGAACCGUGCGAACGUUGUUCGGAAUCACUGGGCUUAAAGGGCGCGUAGGCGGUCUGCCAAGUCCGGGGUGAAAGCCCCCAGCUCAACUGGGGAAGUGCCUCGGAUACUGGCGGACUCGAGGGAGGCAGGGGUCGUGGGAACUUCCGGUGGAGCGGUGAAAUGCGUUGAUAUCGGAAGGAACGCCGGUGGCGAAAGCGCACGACUGGUCCUCUUCUGACGCUGAGGCGCGAAAGCCAGGGGAGCAAACAGG
rnacentral:rRNA from 1 species